CUGGAUCAGCUGCAGUGAAAGGAACACCAUCAGAUGUAUAAAAUGUUGGUUCAUUCAUAAAGUAGUUAGGAUCAUUUUCAGGUGUUGCUUCUCUGUAUGUUGAGGUUGCAUGGACUCUAACCCAGUUAGUCGACCAGAGUUCAACAAGCUUCAAGAGCAUCUGUUUUACGUCUCUGCUGCAGUUUGCAUCUAGGACAUUUUCAAUUCUCUGAAUAAUUUCUUCCAUAUCAGUCUUUAAUUUUCUUUCCAAUCAUCUUCCAAAACUGACCCUGUCAACUUUAGUAAUUUUACUGCACAAAUUAAAUUGUCAUCCACUGGAUUAGAGAAGAGAGUGUUCAGCAGUUCACACAGAACAACUUGAAUAUCUGCUCUUGUAACCUGUCCAUUUGUUCCCCUGAUCUCCAGGUUAAGAUAAAGUUCUCCCAGAAAGAGUACAAAUGCAUGAAAGCAGCUUGAUCUUUAACUUCAUAUUCAGUACGACAUUGUAUAAGCAGCAUAACCUCAUGGGUAAAAUUCGGGGGCGUUGGCAGACAGCUUAGACAUUAACACAAGAGCCACAGCCUUUUGGGGAUUAGCCAUUGCUGACUCUGAGUUCUGCUGGGGGAUUUUAUCCUGUGAGCUAGGUGGAGCUCUCAGGGGCCUUGUUUGUUCUGGAGCCCAAUCAAAACCGUCCGACAUCCUCCUCCUCCUCCUGCGGGGCCGCUGCCGCUGCGCUCCGGCUAGGACGCGGGGGAGACGCGGCGGGCCGGCUCUCGCCCCUGGGCCUCACUCAGGCCUCAGGGAGGACCAGGGCGGCGGGCCACUCGGCUCCUUCCUUGAUUCGGGAGGGGCGGACGGCAGCUUAGGCCCUGGGACCCCGCCGCUGCCUCCGCUUUCGGAUUCUCCCCCAAACCUCCCCAGGACAGCUGCUUUCACCGAUCUUUCUUAUCUCUCAAAUAAAGACAGUUAAUGGUCCAUAAAUACAAAUACAGGACCUGGUUAAUAAGCACCCCAGGGGAGGGAGGAGGAGCACCCCAGGAGAAGCGGGGAAAGGCAGGGGACCAAGUCUUCACACAUCUACAAGGUCUCGGGAAGGAGACGCAGAGGUUUUGCUGGCCAGGGUGGUCACAGCAUUUGUGCCGUGUCCGGCUCAUGCGACUCUGUGACACUGUUCGUGACUCAGUUGCACAGCGCCAGUGUGGACUGUCGUGUGGGUGCAGAGUGGGGCGAAUCUGCCCACGCUGCUACAAGCACAGUGAGGCCUGAACCACAAGCCUGGUACACACUGUCAUGCCCAACAGAUAAGGCUCAUCUCCACGGCAGCCGAGCAGGCUGAGUGCGGCCAGGCCAUUGAGCCUUGGCAGACAGCAGGAAAUCUCAAAGAAGAACAAAGACAAGACACCACGACCCAGCUCCUUGGCUCCGGGAAGCUCGAUAACAUCUGCACCACCGUCCUGAGAAACGUGAUCACACUCACAUCUACAUGCCGGUCCAAGCAGUGUGACCUCACCCUCUCUGCCCCAAAUCCAUUGAGGCAGCAACCUCUUCCUUCCCCCUUAAAGCCUUUGUUUUCCUCCCUGGCUCCUGACUUCCUUUUUGGACUUAGCCCACUCCUGCUGGAGAGAAAUAAACACCUUGUUGCUCACACAGUGCCUGCCUGGUGGUCUCUUCUCUGCUCACACACAUGAUGUCAGUACAUGCCUAGCAGAUCAGUCCCCACUACUACAUGCACACAGAGCUUCACAAAGACAGUGGCCAUGUUGCCUGUACCUCGUGAUGGAGAAAACCCCUAUUAUAGAUAACUAAGAAAUACUACAGGCAGUCAGGGAUAGGCUCUCAAUGAAGCCAGGGCAGAAGAAAAGAACACAUGUAGUAGGCAGAGUUGAAUUCAUUAAAGGCCAAACCUCAAGAGAAAGAUGAAAUGACUACUACUACUUCCCCAGGGAUAAACCAUAAUGACUGAUAGUCUAGAUAGGCAUCAGUCACCUGGGUGGGGGACCAAGACCUCCUGACCCAGCCCUUCCAGGAAAGGUUCUUUCCAUGAACAAUACUACCCAAGUGACUAUACUUGGAGUCUUAUUGGUUGACCAUAGUUUUGUUCCACUUCAUGUCUACCUCAUGAUUUUGCUCUAUAAAACUUCUUUGAGCAGUGGUCUCUCAUGGGCAACUCAGUUUUUUUGGGGGGGACCCUACUGUCUCUCUUAGGAGCUAUCUUUUCUUCAAUAAAUAUUUCCUGGGCGAGGGAUAUAGCUUAGUGGCACUGAGCCUGACUGGCAAGCAUAAGGUCCUGAGUUUGAUCCCUGGUACAAAAAAAAAAAAAAUUCCAAAAUUUCUUUUUUUUUUUUAACUUCUGAUUUUUUUCUUUCUUUCUUUUUUUUUUUUUUGGUACCGGGGAUCGAACUUGGGACCUUGAGCUUGCAAGGCAGGUGCCAGAACCACUGAGCUAAAUCCCCAGCCCAAUUGUCUUUCUUAUUGCUUUGUAGUGGUUUUUUUUGUUUUUUGUUUUGCACCGGGGAUCGAACUUGGAUCCUUGCACUUGCGCAGCAAGUGUCAAAACCACUGAGCUAAAUCCCCGGCCCCCAAAAUUUCAUUAAAUAUUUCCUACUCUUAACCUCCAUUGUUCUUAGAACUCAUUCUUUAAUUUAGAGAACACAAACUUGGUGUAUCAGACAUCUAACAGGUUGGGAGUUAUAAUACAAUGGACCCUUGACUUUUGAACUAAAUUUGUUCCCAAGGGCUGGUUGUAACUCAAGUUGGUCAAUUGCUUUCAAAGUCUCUCUCUUGUGUAAUUUUGGGCCACACUUUCUUUCAGGCAGAUCUCAGUGUCCUUUAGAGAGAUAUUGGCCCAGGAUUUCCCAAUUAACCCCACACAGGGAAGUACGUUGUAAUGUUCCUUCCAGAAUGCUUUCAGGGUUAAAUCUGUACCUGAGACCAUCUGGAAGCACAAGCGGCUGCAUUUGGGAUGUAACUCAAGACUUUGUAAGUGAAAACUAAAAUGCUGGUCCUAACUCAGGGGUCCACUGUACUUCCCUUGUAUCAUCUGGAGGUCCUACACCAUCCCUAGAUCACUACAAGACUCAGUCACCACACUACACAUCAAUUUUGUUUUCUCAGUACUAUAGCUCAAACAAGUGUUCUACCCUUCAGCUACAUCCCAUCUUUUGUUUUUUGCUUUUGCAGUUCAGGACUGUACCCAGUGCCUUUGCACUGAGCUGCACUCCCAGAAUCCCCUCACCCAUUUUUUGGAGACAGGUUUCACUAAGUAGCUAAAUUUCCCAGGCUGGGCUUGAAUCUGUGAUUCUCCUGCUUCAGCUUCCCAAGUAGCUGGAAUUAUAGGUAUGUACCACCUGAUCUGGUGUGAGCUCCAUCAAUUCACACACAUGUGCACACGUGUGCGUGUGUGUGGGGGGGGGUAGUGGGAAUUGAACCAGGGGUGCUAAGCUACAUCUCUAGCUUUUAAAAAACUUUUCUUUUGGAACAGUGUUUCACUAAAUUAUCCAAGCUGAGCUUGAACUGUGAUCCUUCUGCCUCAACUUUCCAGAUAGCUGAAAUUACAGGCAUCUGCCACCAUGCCCAACAGAGUAUAGAUUAAUCCUAAUUAAUCUUGUUAAGUGAUAGAUAAAAUAAUAUAAAUCUAGACAAUAAAAUAAAGAAGUUGAAUUCAAUGUUCUUACUGUAUAACCUUACCUAUUAAGCCCUUGGGGGUGUGUCUCUAUUUCUGUUUCACUUAUUUUACACAGUGCCUGUUUUUGUUUGUUUGGUUUUUCUUAUUUUGGGUUUUUUUUUAAAAAAAAAAACAGGGUCCUGCUGUGCAGUUCAGACUGGCCUUGAACUCAUGGUGAUGCUUCUGCCUCAGCCUCAAUUACAGGUGUGUGCCACCAUGCCUGGCCCAUUUGUUUAUUGAGACAAGGUUUUACUACCUGUAGCUCAGGCUGGCCUCAACUCAUCAUUCUCCUGCCUCAGCCUCCUGAGUGCUGAGACUACAGAUGUGUGCCACUAAGACACAAGGAUAUGAGCCCCUACUAGUAGGAAUUUGUGGCAGGCUGAUGGGACAUUUAUUAGGGAGUUAGUCUUCUCAAAUUGUAUCAAAGUGUGUGUAUUUCCAAGAAGACAGCAUUAUUUGAUACUCAAAAGUUAAGUAUGGGGUGGGGAUUUAGCUCAGCAGUUCUGCUGCCUGCCUUGUAAGUGCAAGGACCUGAGUUCAAUCCCCAGUACCAAAAAAAGUUAAGUAGUUCUAACAGCUCCAGGUUCAUGACAUAAUGUUAUAUGUUAAUUAUGCUACUAAUUUAACAUUAUAAUACAAACUGACAUAACUCAGUACCCAUGAUAAGAUUUUAUGAGGGUAUGUGAGCCAGGUGUGGUGUUGCAUGCCUGUAAUCCCAGCUCCCAGGAGGCUGAGACAGGAGGAUCACCUUGAGUUGGAGUGAGCUCAAAGCCAGCCCGAACUGCAUAGUGAGACCCUGUCUCAAAAAAAGAGAGCUUUCACAAACUCCUGUUGGGUAAGUGUGUACCGGUGUGCCACACAAGUGUGCACUUGUGUGCCCACCACACCUAGACUGACAGAGGGGUAGGAUCUGGAAAGGUGGACGGCGAGGCCACAGCAGCACAGAGCCAAUGGACAGGGAGACCUUGUUCCUCCUGCUAACCUAGUACCGAACUGGACAGCACUGCAGGCAAGUGUGUCUGUCUGCAUCUGGUGACCAGUGUGAGGGCGACUGCAGGGAGCAUACUGCUUCCAAGUAUGCAUGUAUCACAGGGAAGGCUUUUUUAAAUUCAGGGUGGCAACUGGUCUAGCAGGUUCUUGUCCCUUCUAGGGAAAAGGCUGUAUAAACAGAUAACUCUUGUAGAAUGUGUUUUGGGUUAACAGAUUUAGGGUUUUAUGUGAGGACCCUUCACCUAGGAACAGAUCAUAUCGAGAGACUAUGAAAGAUGCUUUUCUAGCUGAUCAAGAAUUUCCCCUGUGGUUUCCUCUCUAGGAUUUAAUAAUAUCUCAGUUCAAGAGGUAUGUGGGUGGAGCUUGUGGAGAUGUCAAGCUUAGGAAUUUGAAUAAGGUACAAGCCCUGGACAGAACAAAAGUAGAAGAAUACACCAAAGGUAAGAUGUAAAAUAUGAGAAACUUUCCAGGAGUGGUGGCACACGCCUGUGAUCCCAGCACUCAGGAGGCUGAGGGAGGAGAAUCACCAGGAGCUCAGACUAGCCUGAACUACAUAAAGAAAACCUGCUUCUAAACAAACAAACAAACAAACAAACAAAUAAGAGAAACCAAAUAAAACCAGAAUCAAAAGCUAAGCUCACAUAUCAGGGUUAAAGCAGAAAAUGCUAAUAAUAGGAUUCAGAAUACAAAGGGAAUCCAGGAAGACUGAUAUCAAAUAAUAAAGCUUCUGUAUAUUUUUUUAAGAGGGUCAAAAAUGUGAACAGUUCCCUAGAUGAGUGGAUUGGGUAAAGCUGGGUAGGAGAUGAGGUUACCUCAUGUGUCAUUUGGCCGAAGGCAACCAACCUUGUUAUCUGCCUACACAGUAUACUAUGGGUUAUAUCAGCCAGUAGAGGUACAGCAGCAUUAAGCAAGUAAAUUAGUGUACCUACAUCCGUUUAAGUACUUGCUUCUGGAGGAAUUCCUGAGAAUGAAUUUUCUGUUGUGAGGUCUGUGUGUGACUCCCUUGGAAGAGGCCAUCACUUGGAGAUGUGCGUGUGUGUGUGUGUGUGUGUGUGUGUGUGUGUGUGUUUGGUGGGAUUAAUCACUUGGAGAUUUGUUAAGGAAUUACCAUGUGACCUGGGUAUGGGCCACAUGUCUGUAAUCCCAGCACUGGGGAGGCUGAGACAGGAGGAUCACCAUGAGUUUCAGGCCAGCCUGGGCUACAUAGUGAGUUCAAGGCCAGCAUGGAAUACAGUACAUAGCAAGACUGUCUCACAAAACAAAGCAAAACAAAACAAAAUCAAACCAAACCAUCUUGG
rnacentral:lncRNA from 1 species